UACGGAGGAUCCGAGCGUUAUCCGGAUUUAUUGGGUUUAAAGGGUGCGCAGGCGGGAGACUAAGUCGGUGGUGAAAUUUUGCAGCUCAACUGUAACAGUGCCAUUGAUACUGGUUUUCUUGAGUGUGGAUGAAGUAGGCGGAAUUUGUGGUGUAGCGGUGAAAUGCAUAGAUAUCACGAGGAACUCCGAUCGCGUAGGCAGCUUACUAAACCAUAACUGACGCUCAUGCACGAAGGCGUGGGGAUCAAACAGGAUUAGA
rnacentral:rRNA from 1 species